rnacentral:rRNA from 1 species
AUGGCUCCCUCCUCCACCUCCACCUCCACCUCGCCCCCCUCCGUCGUCGUCGUCCUCAUCCUCCUCCUCUCCGCCGUCCCGGCCCGCCUCGCCUCGAUCCCCGUCUCCGAUGGACUGGAGCAGCUAGGAGGAGGAGAAGGCCUGCACCGGGAGAUUCUCAGGGACGAGACGGUGCUGAGGCUCAAGGAACUCGGCAAGAUAUCUGAUGGCGAAGGCUUCCUCGAAAGGACAUUCCUGAGUCCCGCUUCCUUCAGAGCCACUGAUGUCAUUAUCAGCUGGAUGAAAGAUGCUGGACUUGCGACGUGGGUGGAUCAAAUGGGUAAUAUUCAUGGUCGAUUUGAACCGUCCAAUUCAACAGAGAAGGCUUUAUUGAUUGGAUCUCACAUGGAUACUGUCAUUGAUGCUGGCAUGUACGACGGAGCUUUGGGUAUUAUAUGCGCAAUCUCUGCUCUGAAGGUCUUGAGAGUCACUGGAAAACUUCAGAGGCUCACUAGACCAGUAGAGCAUAGUGUGCUUGUCUCACUGCAAUCAGUGAGCUGGUUACGCGAGCCAUUAUCCUAUUGCUCACAGGUGAUUGCAUUCAGCGACGAGGAGGGCGUUAGAUUUCAGACAACAUUUCUGGGAAGCGCCGCUGUAGCUGGUAUUCUACCUGAAUCAAUUUUGCAAGUAUCUGACAAGAGUGGCACUACCGUUCAAGAGGCUCUUCGGUUGAACUCCUUCGAGGCCACUGCUGCUGCUCUUGGUCAGGUCAAGUACAGCCCGGAGUCUGUCGGCAGCUAUGUUGAGGUUCACUUGGAACAAGGGCCUGUCCUGGAAGCCCUCCGAUAUCCCCUUGGCGUCGUAAAAGGGAUCGCAGGGCAGACACGAUUGAAGGUAAUAGUAGACGGUUCCCAAGGGCAUGCUGGGACGGUUCCAAUGAAAUUGCGCCGUGAUCCGAUGGUUGCAGCUGCAGAGCUGGUGGUGACACUGGAGGGCCUGUGCAAAGACCCGAGCAGAUUCCUGACCUACGACGAGGAGUGCGGCUGCUUCACCGAGGAGUCCCUCGCCGGCCUCGUCUGCACCGUCGGCGAGCUGCUCACGUGGCCCAGCGCCAGCAAUGUCAUCCCAGGCCAGGUGAACUUCACGGUGGACAUACGCGCCAUGGACGACCUGGUGCGGGAGACGAUCGUGGCGAGCUUCUCGCGGAUCGUCAUGCAGCGGUGCGACCACCGGCUGGUCGACUGCGCCGUCGAGCACAAGCACUCGGCGGCGGCCACACCGUGCGACCCGGAGCUGACGGCCCAGCUGAAGCGUGCGACGCGGUCGGCGGUGUCGGCGAUGGCGGCGCCCGGCGGCCACGCGGCGGUUGCCGGGGAGUCGACGCCGGUGCUGAUGAGCGGCGCGGGGCACGACGCGAUGGCGAUGGCGCGGCUGACGCGGGUGGGGAUGCUGUUCGUGCGGUGCCGCGGCGGGGUGAGCCACUCGCCGGAGGAGCACGUGGCGGAGGACGACGUGUGGGCCGCCGGGCUCGCGCUGCUCCGCUUCGUCGACCAGCACGCCGUGGCCGAGCUGUGA